AGCAGCCGCGGUAAUUCCAGCUCCAAUAGCGUAUAUUAAAGUUGUUGCAGUUAAAAAGCUCGUAGUUGAAUUUCGGGGUUAGCAGGUUGGUCGUGCCUUCGGUAUGCACUGGCUUUGCUGAUUCCUCCUUCUUGAAGAACUGUGAUGCUAUUAAUUUGGUGUUGCAGGGAAACAGGACUGUUACUUUGAAAAAUUAGAGUGUUUAAAGCAGGCUAACGCUUGAAUACAUUAGCAUGGAAUAAUGAAAUAGGACGUUUGAUCCUAUUUUGUUUGUUUCUAGGAUUGACGUAAUGAUUAAUAGGGAUAGUUGGGGGCAUUAGUAUUCAAUUGUCAGAGGUGAAAUUCUUGGAUUUAUUGAAGACUAACUACUGCGAAAGCAUUUGCCAAGGAUGUUUUCAUUAAUCAAGAACGAAAGUUAGGGGAUCGAAGACGAUCAGAUACCGUCGUAGUCUUAACCAUAAACUAUGCCGACUAGGGAUCGGAUGAUGUUAAUUUUUAAUGA
rnacentral:rRNA from 1 species